rnacentral:rRNA from 1 species
UACGUAGGGGGCUAGCGUUGUCCGGAAUCAUUGGGCGUAAAGAGCGUGUAGGCGGUCCGGUAAGUCCGCUGUGAAAGUCGGGGGCUCAACCCUCGGAUGCCGGUGGAGUACUGUCGGGCUAGAGUGCGGAAGAGGCGAGUGGAAGUUCCUGGUGUAGCGGUGAAAUGCGCAGAUAUCAGGAGGAACACCUAUUGCGAAGGCAGCUCGCUGGGACGUAACUGACGCUGAGACGCGAAAGCGUGGGGAGCAAACAGG